rnacentral:tRNA from 1 species
GACUCGGUAGUGUAAGAGACAGAACACGGUGCCCCAAAAGCACAAGCACGGGUUCGAGUCCCGUCCGAGACC